CUUGAUGUAGUCGGGUGCAGUCCCGUUCACUGCUCGGAAGGUCAGUACCAGGGUCUUGAAUCUGAUACGGAAGACAUGGAAGAUUUCCCAUUUUUGAAUAGAGUUGAAUAGAGACCCUGUUUCCAUCCCUCUUUGACACUCUGUGAUGACGGUUGGUGGUACCUUCAACUGAACAACUUCAUGUUUUGGUGAAUUGAAGUAUUAACUUAUAUAUUUGUGGAAUAAUAAAGUACCAGAUUAUUCUUAUGCCAACAGGUUCCAUUCUGUCCUCCUCAUCACUGGGUUCAGCUGCUCACCAGUCUGAAGGAAAGGGAUCAGUGGCCAACUUGCCAGCAUUUCAAAGUGCUAAAGCAAGGAUCCAAGUGAGGACUGGCAGGAAGUGGAGGGCAGAGGAAGUAGUUCAAGAGGCAGAUGCAAGGCUGCGUCACAGGAGCCUUGUGGGAGUGGUCAAACGAGGUCGAGCAGGGCUAGGAUCCUUUCCAACUCCCCAAAUGAACACCAGGGGGAAGGAAGGUCAAUGACUUGUUCAGGAGGAGGUGAGAGCAGCAGUGGAGGAGACGAGAACCUGCAAGGCAGUAAGAAUGAAGCAACAGGGAGCUUGGACGAGAUGGGAGAAUGCGGUUGAAAGGAAAGUGACCUGGGCUGAGCUUUGGAAAGCCAAAGCCAGCAUCAAAUUCCUCAUCCAGGCAGUGCAUGAUGUGCUUCCAAGCCCGUCAAAUCUCCACACAUGGGGCAUAGCAGAGACACCAGCAUGCCCACUGUGUUCCAAGAGAGGAACCCUGGAACACAUCCUCAGUUGCUGUACAAGGGCACUUGGAGAUGGUCUGUACAGGUGGAGGCAUGACCAAGUCCUCAAGAUCAUUGCUGAAGUCUUCAUCGCAAGACUGGCGUGGGCAAAGCAGUUCCGACCCUGACAAAGGCGAACCAUCGCCUAAUUUUGGACAAAGAUACCGACCAGAGCCAAAAAGGGCGUCACACGGGUGGCUUUGUUGAAAAGCUAGCGUUUUACAGGCACAUUUUUUCUUUUUGGGAUUUGCAUAGGAAACAGGUGUCAAAGGACUUUGAUAUUCACUGUAUGUUCAUUUUACCCACCGAACUGUCGUUAUUCAACUAUGACAAGGUAAAAUCGGUUUGGCAAUCAAUCGCCCCUUUAAAAGGUGACAACAGAUUUUGAUUUGGUUGAUUAUGUAAUCAUUUACUCAA